rnacentral:rRNA from 1 species
CCUACGGGGGGCAGCAGUGAGGAAUAUUGGUCAAUGGCCGCGAGGCUGAACCAGCCAAGUCGCGUGAAGGAUGAAUGUCCUAUGGAUUGUAAACCUCUUUUGUCAGGGAGCAAAGUGAGCCACGUGUGGCUGUUUGAGUGUACCUGAAGAAAAAGCAUCGGCUAACUCCGUGCCAGCAGCCGCGGUAAUACGGAGGAUGCGAGCGUUAUCCGGAUUUAUUGGGUUUAAAGGGUGCGUAGGCGGGUUAUUAAGUCAGGGGUAAAAUCGUGGAGCUCAACUUCAUACUGCCAUUGAAACUGGUGAUCUUGAGUGGACGAGAGGUAGGCGGAAUGCGUGGUGUAGCGGUGAAAUGCAUAGAUAUCACGAAGAACUCCGAUUGCGAAGGCAGCAUACUGGAGCGCGACUGACACUGAUGCACGAAAGCGUGGGUAUCGAACAGGAUUAGAUACCCGAGUAGUC